UACAGAGGGUGCAAGCGUUAAUCGGAAUUACUGGGCGUAAAGCGCGCGUAGGCGGCCUGGCCAGUCGGAUGUGAAAGCCCCGGGCUUAACCUGGGAAUUGCAUUCGAUACUACCAGGCUAGAAUGUAGUAGAGGGAAGCGGAAUUCCAGGUGUAGCGGUGAAAUGCGUAGAUAUCUGGAGGAACAUCAGUGGCGAAGGCGGCUUCCUGGACUAACAUUGACGCUGAGGUGCGAAAGCGUGGGUAGCAAACAGG
rnacentral:rRNA from 1 species